ACUGUUUUAUAUUCAGAUUGUUUGCAAAGCAAACACUGAUUUCCUUGGUCAAAGUAAAGAAUUGCUGUGUGUAGUCUUUGCCCAUCCCAUGUGAUGGGCUUUUUUUUGC
rfam:Erwinia tracheiphila strain BuffGH Etrach_2, whole genome shotgun sequence.